rnacentral:rRNA from 1 species
UAUGCGCCUUCGUAUGUUUCUCCUGCUUAUCACCUUCUUGAAGGCUUCCCAUUCAUUCAGGAACCGCCUUUUGGUGAUUUGCAAGAACGCGUACUUAUUCGCCACCAUGAUUAUGACCAGUGUUUCCAGUCCGUUCAGUUGUUGCAGUGGAAUAGUCAGGUUAAAUUUAAUGUGACCGUUUAUCGCAAUCUGCCGACCACUCGCGAUUCAAUCAUGACUUCGUGAUAAAAGAUUGAGUGUGAGGUUAUAACGCCGAAGCGGUAAAAAUUUUAAUUUUUGCCGCUGAGGGGUUGACCAAGCGAAGCGCGGUAGGUUUUCUGCUUAGGAGUUUAAU